rnacentral:rRNA from 1 species
CCUACGGGGGGCAGCAGUAGGGAAUCUUUCACAAUGGGCGAAAGCCUGAUGGAGCAACGCCGCGUGCAGGAUGAAGGCCUUCGGGUUGUAAACUGCUUUUAUAAGCGAGAAAUAUGAUGGUAACUUAUGAAUAAGGAUCGGCUAACUACGUGCCAGCAGCCGCGGUCAUACGUAGGAUCCGAGCAUUAUCCGGAGUGACUGGGUGUAAAGAGUUGCGUAGGUGGCAUAAUAAGUAGCUAGUGAAAUCUGGUGGCUCAACAAUUCAGACUAUUAGCUAAACUGUUAAGCUCGAGACCGUUAGGGGUAACUGGAAUUUCUAGUGUAGGAGUGAAAUCCGUAGAUAUUAGAAGGAACACCAAUAGCGUAGGCAGGUUGCUGGGACGGUUCUGACACUAAGGCACGAAAGCGUAGGGAGCAAACGGGAUUAGAUACCCGAGUAGUC